rnacentral:rRNA from 1 species
UCGGGAAUUUUGGGCAAUGGGCGAAAGCCUGACCCAGCAACGCCGCGUGAAGGAUGAAGUAUUUCGGUAUGUAAACUUCGAAAGAAUAGGAAGAAUAAAUGACGGUACUAUUUAUAAGGUCCGGCUAACUACGUGCCAGCAGCCGCGGUAAUACGUAGGGACCAAGCGUUGUCCGGAUUUAUUGGGUUUAAAGGGUGCGUAGGUGGCCCUGUAAGUCAGUGGUGAAAUAUCUCAGCUUAACUGAGAGGGUGCCAUUGAUACUGCAGGGCUUGAGUACAGAUGAGGUAGGCGGAAUUGACGGUGUAGCGGUGAAAUGCAUAGAUAUCGUCAAGAACACCGAUAGCGAAGGCAGCUUACCAAGCUGUAACUGACACUGAGGCACGAAAGUGUGGGGAUCAAACAGGAUUAGAUACCCCCGUAGUCCCUGAGCGGGCUGGCAAGGCGCAU